rnacentral:rRNA from 1 species
AUACGUAGGGUGCAAGCGUUAAUCGGAAUUACUGGGCGUAAAGCGUGCGCAGGCGGUUUUGUAAGACAGAGGUGAAAUCCCCGGGCUCAACCUGGGAACUGCCUUUGUGACUGCAAGGCUAGAGUACGGCAGAGGGGGAUGGAAUUUCGCGUGUAGCAGGGAAAUGCGUAGAUAUGCGGAGGAACACCGAUGGCGAAGGCAAUCCCCUGGGCCUGUACUGACGCUCGUGCACGAAAGCGUGGGGAGCAAACAGGAUUAGAUACCCUGGUAGUCCACGCCCUAAACGAUGUCAACUGGUUGUUGGGUCUUCAUUGACUCAGUAACGAAGCUAACGCGUGAAGUUGACCGCCUGGGGAGUACGGCCGCAAGGUUGAAACUCAAAUGAAUUGGCGGGG